CCCCAUCGUAGGAAAGCCUUGAACAGAUUACAAUAGAUAAAUCAAUACUUAAAGAUAAAGAAAGAGUUUCCUCCCUACCCCAGAACCUUAAGUCAUGUGCUUCCAAAUGACCUCCCAUCAUACCAGUAUCCAAAUAAUUAACUCAAAAUGCAGUACAUUUUUACCCAACAGAUAAAUAGCAGAUAUGUUAUAGAUAGGACAGGUUUGGAGGGAUUUGGACCAAAUGGGACAUGUUGGCCGGUGUAGGCAAGUUUCGGCCGAAGACUCUGUUUCCACACUGUGUCACUUUAUGACUUUAUGUUCCGCCACCUUAUUUGUUUGCCCAUAGGUGCAUUUCUAAUGUCUACCCCUUCAAAGAUACAUACAGGAAUUGUUGACAAGCAUGCACAGUGCAAAUCUGAUUCAUGAUCAUUAACAGUUCUUGGUCAAUGAUUUUCAAUACUAAGUUGUAUUUAUAAUUUUCAGACAAUUUGUAUCUUUCAAAGGCCUGUUCAAUUGUAAUAGUAUACAUUGUACAUAAUCGGGUGUAAAAUCCAUAAUAAAUGCUGGAAACACUUCACAAGUCAAACAGUAUUUGUGUAAAGAAAAACAGUUAAAGUUUCUCCUCUGGAACUCCUUGCGAGAAAAAUCCAUAACCUAUUCAAGAGUUGAAUUCCUUCUAUUAUGUAGUACUUCCAACAAAAUACAGGUUCAUUAUCAGCCGUGACUUGUGAUUCAGGUCUACAGUGUAAAAUUGAGUAACCUGAUGGGAAUGCUGGUUCACAGGCUGGUCACGUGAAGAAGAAGUUGAACGUGAAGCACAAGUAGAACAUAUUUAGGAAAGGUGCUCACAUAUUCCUUUGCAAACACAAAGCCUACAUGACACAGACCUGUUAUCAUUAUAUUUUCUCACUCUGGCAAUGCUGCAUUGCCUUUAACCACCACCGAUGUACUAGGCGUGGAUGAGGUGGUAUGAUGGGGCCCUUUCUCCGAUGUACAUGCUUUUAUGAUUCCACAUUUGCACAGGACUGUUUUUGGAUGACACAUCGCUUUUUGCUUCCUUCCUCGGGUAUUAACCUUUUGUGUUUCUUGUAGGAACAGGAGAGCUCAUUGUAGAGGAUUAGACCAUAAAGGAAGCCAAAGUGAGAAAUUCUUGUCGCAACAAGGUGAAGCAGGAGACUUCCCACAACAGGACCGGGAUCACCGCACUCUUGAUUAGUAUUGCAUCCCUCACAGACACACAAGUAUAAAAACAUCAUCCACUUUUCUUGGAGAAACUAUUGUCGCUGUACCCAGGAUGACAUUCCAAUGAAUUGCUGAGGGAAUGCUGCACUGUUGAAAGUUCACAUCUUCAGAGGAGACACAAAACUGAUCCCGAUGUUCACUCAGGUGGACUUAACAGAUGUCAAGGCAUUAUUUUAAAUACAAUUUGAUUUACUCCG